rnacentral:tRNA from 1 species
GCUCCCGUGGUCAAAUGGAUAUGACACAUCCCUCCGAAGGAUGUAUUGGCGGUUCGAUUCCGCCCGGGAGUGCCA